UGGGGAAUAUUGGACAAUGGGCGCAAGCCUGAUCCAGCCAUGCCGCGUGAGUGACGAAGGCCUUAGGGUUGUAAAGCUCUUUUUGGCGGGGAAGAUAAUGACGGUACCCGCAGAAUAAGCUCCGGCUAACUUCGUGCCAGCAGCCGCGGUAAUACGAAGGGAGCUAGCGUUGUUCGGAAUCACUGGGCGUAAAGCGCACGUAGGUGGACAUUUAAGUCAGGGGUGAAAGCCCGAGGCUCAACCUCGGAAUUGCCUCUGAUACUGGGUGUCUAGAGUUCGAGAGAGGUGAGUGGAAUUCCUAGUGUAGAGGUGAAAUUCGUAGAUAUUAGGAAGAACACCGGUGGCGAAGGCGGCUCACUGGCUCGAUACUGACACUGAGGUGCGAAAGCGUGGGGAGCAAACAGGAUUAGAUACCCCAGUAGUCCCUGAGCGGGCUGGCAAGGCGCAU
rnacentral:rRNA from 1 species